GACGAACGCUGGCGGCGUGCUUAACACAUGCAAGUCGAACGCUGAAGCUCAGCUUUUGUUGGGUGGAUGAGUGGCGAACGGGUGAGUAACACGUGAGUAACCUGCCCUCUUCUUUGGGAUAACGCCCGGAAACGGGUGCUAAUACUGGAUAUUCACUGAUCUUCGCAUGGGGGUUGGUGGAAAGGUUUGUUCUGGUGGGGGAUGGGCUCGCGGCCUAUCAGCUUGUUGGUGGGGUGAUGGCCUACCAAGGCUUUGACGGGUAGCCGGCCUGAGAGGGUGACCGGUCACAUUGGGACUGAGAUACGGCCCAGACUCCUACGGGAGGCAGCAGUGGGGAAUAUUGCACAAUGGGCGAAAGCCUGAUGCAGCGACGCCGCGUGAGGGAUGGAGGCCUUCGGGUUGUAAACCUCUUUCGCUCAUGGUCAAGCCGCGACGUGGGUUGUGGUGAGGGUAGUGGGUA
rnacentral:rRNA from 1 species